GCCGGAGUGGCGAAGCUGGUAGACGCAGGGGACUUAAAAUCCCCUUGGGCGCAAGCCCAGCGCGGGUUCGAGUCCCGCCUCCGGUA
rnacentral:tRNA from 1 species